ACUAUCAUCCUUAGAAAAAAAGAAUUACGUAUCUUAGAGAUGAAAUAAAACUACUUCUCCGGGAAAAGGUAUCCAUAGUAAUAUUGUUAAUAUGUAGAAGAAAAAUCUAAAUAUAGGAUUUUUCUUUAUGUAUCAAUAUUAUGAAAUAAAGAAUAUUGUUUUGUACCCUCUUUUCUAAGUUUUAAAAUAGUUCCAAGUGAAGAUUGUGUUCAAAGUAGCCACAGACAAGAUGCUUGUAAAGACAAAAAUAAUGUUCAUUGCCCGAAGGAGAACAACUGUUGUGGUAAUAAGGCUAUUUUAAGGAGAGAAUAAGAGAGGUAUAUAUAGAAAAAUCUUUACUUCGUAAUAUUAGUAACAUAUAGUUAUAAUCUAUAUCAUCUUAUUAAUCUACAUAUAAGCAUACUACUUUAGAUACUAAGUACCUAUCGGGAGUUUAUCAUCUUGAUUAAUCAUACAGUACUGUUUAUAACAUUAUUUUUAUACUAUAAGUAUAAAUGAUAAAAGAUGAUGAUUGAAGCUCAAUAUCAUCUAAAGUUAGCCCUAAAAAGGUUAUGGAAAUAUCUAAUAGCCUUAAAUAAUCUUGAUGAAUUUAUCAUUGAGUUGGUAAAAGCCUACAAAACUGUAAAUCAACAUUUAUCUGUAUAGGAAGGAUUAUACAUAAAAUUCAAAUGAUUAGAGCACAAGAAUAUGUCUUGUAUCUAGAGGAUAAAAAUAAUAUUGAUAAAAAUAUUAUCUACACCACUUAAAUGAGCAGUAUAAAUUUCCUUCCGCAUAUUUACCCUAUAUAUAUAUAUAUACACAUACAUACAUACAUACAUACAUAUAUAUAUAUAUAUUAACUAAUCACCUGAAUCAUUUACAAAGCAAUCUAUACCACAUAGUUAGCUAAGUCUCACUGCUAGGACAACCACCCUAUCAAAAUACUACAACUAUCAACCCCAACAAACUAACAAAGUUGUCACUCUAAUGGUUGUACUACAUCUUUUGCAAAUUUGGAGCUCUAAAAUUAUAAGCAUAUGCAACAUUCUUAGUUAACCUGAAGUCAUCUACAAGAUUGGUGUUCAAAAAUUCUAAGCUUUCGCUCUUUCAAAUAGUGUGCUCAGUUUCAGCAACUACAAAUUGGAAUAUUUGGGCUAUUUAAGUAUUCCCCUUUUCACUCUUGUGUAUCAAUUGGAAAUAAAGGUCACAAUAUCCUCGUGUCAUCUUUUAUAUGCAUUCAAGUCAACACUUUAUGCCACAAUAGCCUCACAAAUAGAUACUAUAUACAAACAUGUAUUCUUUUGUUUCUCUUACAUGUUGAAAGAUGGAACAUAUGGGUUCAACCUUCACACCCCACUUGAUGAGCCUGACUUUGGUGAGCAACUUUGAUUGCAUAAGUAGCCACUAGUGAAUAUGGAUUUAGGUCUAGCAAGGUUGUCAACCAUCAAGCACUUUCAUGGCAUUCGAUCUAGCGCUCUCCCCAAUCAUUCCAAGAUAAAUUUAUUUUGUAAUACCUUAUUGUUUCUUUAUCAUGUGUUGCACUUGGUACCACUCUCUCCUAGCUUUCAAUAUUUUCCUUGUAAUCCAAUAAACUUGAGGAGGAAUAUUGAUAGCCUGCAGGUGAUGCUCCUUUAUGUAAUAAGUGUGUAUCCACGUGGUCUUCAUCUUAUCUUCUUUAUUUGUAAGAUCACAUAAUGUUUUUGUUAAGACAAUGUUGUUUCAUAGCUUUAAGUUUAUGAUGUUUAUUUAUCCCUUUUGCAGACUUGGGUAAACAUAUCCUAUCUCAAGCAACUAAAACUUUCUUGUUGUAUUUACUCCAAUCCAUUUUACCACCCUAUAAGGUGGAAAGAACAAUCGAGACCAAUUAAAUUGAGUACCAAACACUAUUAUUUGCAUUACCUGAAUUCUGUCUGCAUAAGAUAACUUCUUAGCUGUCUAUAAAGAAAUUCACUUCAUAAUCUUCCCAUAAGUGGUUGCCACUAGAUCAUAGUCAAUUUCUUAAUGAUAUUGGAACAUCUAAAUACUUAAAAGGUAAUUUUGUGUACCAACUUAUGCUAGCAUCCAUAUUCUUUUGUACCAUUGAAGAAUUCGACUGGCUAUCCUCCUACUUUGGGACCUGGUCCCAAACAAACAUAAACACCAAGAAUUUAAAUAGAAGAGUAUGUAACAGUAAAUAAACAAGGAACAUAGCAAAUUUUAGGUGGAAACUCCUUGCUUAAGGGAGAAAAACUUCGACCUGCCUUAAGGAUUUCCAACAGCUCCACUAAUAUUCAAGAAACCUUGAAUAUAGGCUCCAUGACAUCAAUGAUUAAACUCCUAAUUCUUCAUCAAAUAUUAAUACCUCUAUUACAAUGAACUCAAUGCAAUAACUCUAUUGCACACUGACCCAACUAACUCUAACUGAAUCACAAAGCUAACUCUAGAUUUUGUCAACUAAAUCUACAUAACAUUUUACCAAAAUAAUAAAAAGGAAAGCACCUAAUGAUAAUGAACUUAAAGUAGUACGCAAUGUUUCUAGACUCAAAAAUGAAGACUCAAGACAACAAGAGUUCUAAGGGACUGGCAAUGACUAAGUAGGUCCCUUAUUGUUGAUAAGCUUUUGAAUCAGCAAAGCUUCAACAGAUUUGAUGUGUUUUGGGAUAUGGAUGCAUUAAGUUUUUUUAUUGUUGAAAUGAGCAUUUAUAAGAGACAAGAAAACCUAGGAUUAAUCUUAUUGGUUGAGACAAAAAGGGUACAAGGCUUUUCAUCAACUUUUCUACGGUGUACUAUGUCCAUCUAUAGUACUGACCAAUGUCAAUGACGUGAAAUACGGUCAACUAGGUCCUUAAGUAGUUGUCGCUUUUGUCAUCACAAGAUCUUCAAGAACCAGGUCCCAAGGGAUAAUUUGUCAAUCAUCAAACUAAUGACUACACAGACUAUACCCCUCAUCUACACAUUAUACCCCUUAUCUUCCCUCUUUUGGAAUCAUAAAAGUCCUAAAAUAGUGAACCAAGUAGAGAUAAGCACACAUGUUAGCACAUGGACAUGGAGGCUACACUGACAUGAGCACAAAAAAUAAGAGAAAGUAAGAGAGAUGAUAACACAAAGCAGAUUCAUUCAUUUUUCAUAGAGGAUAGCAUCAUACAAAAUUUAAAAAAGAUAAUAGCAUUAAAAAACAAAAAUAGUAGUGUCAACACAACAAGAAAAAAACUUAAGGAGGCCAGACUUGGCGAGGCUUAAAAGGGGAAAAAACUGAGGACUCGAUUAGGGAGACACCUAGGAGGAAUGACCGAAAGGAGUUUGGGACAAUUAGUGAAGAAGCAUGGUUAUUCUCUCACUUUCUGGAAUAUGAGUCUUUAGGAGUUGUUGAGUUAAAUCCUUGAUAUUUGCAGUCGAAACCUCAACUUUUGCCUCCAAUUUCUUUAGAUUCUCAUACAAUUCUGCAUUUUCAGCACUUAAUUCUCUAUUGAACCUAGUCCCUCAUCGCUCCUUUUCACUAAGGAUGCCUUCAGAGAAAAAAAUUCUAUAUUUUUUUGUGCUACAAUGGCUUCCAUCUCAUCCAAUUAUUCCCCCAUCCCAGUUUGAACAUCAAUAAGCUCGACAACUAUGGAUUUGGAUUUCCCUUCACCUCUGCUAGGGAUGCAUUCAUUAUCAUCCAUGGUUGUUACAUUGAACACUUGAUUUACUGAACCUGUCUUUCAAAGGCCACACUAAUGUUAAAGUACAAACAGAUUUGGUUAAUCCAAAACACAUAGUUCAAUCCAUGUUUUCUAUCUUUUAUUGUCAUCACUGUGUUUAUAUGCUCAAUCACAGUAGCUAGGAAAUUUACCUUUUGAUAUUUGUACAUGGCCUUCAUAAAUGUAAUACCCCGACUUCCUUUAAGUCAAAUCUAGUCUCCAGAAGAGUUACUGAUGACAUCCUAAAUGAUUAAUAUUUAAAUCAGAUAGAAUUUCCCCAUUCCAUCAAAAUCUGACAUGGGAAUUUGAAUAAGCUUUCCAUCGAUACCCAUUCCGUCAAAAUCCAACGUAGAAAGAGAAAUUUAUGGCCAAAAUACAGAAAUCAGUCAAAACUGCCCAGGUGUGACGGUAGAGGCCGACGGACCAUCAAGCUAGCGAUGGACCGUCGCCCAAGCUAUCGCAGUGAAGGUAGUAAGACCAUAUUCUGCCUAAGGGCAACGGCUCAGGCCGACAGACCAUCAAGCUAGUGAUGGACCGUCGCCCAAGCCAUCAUAGCAGAGGCAGUAAACCCUUAUUCUGCCUAGGUACGACGGCCAAAACCAACGGACCAUCGACCCAGCAAUGGACCAUCGCACCUACCGUCAUAUAUUUGGUUCAGUUAUUUUAAGUCAUUUUUAAAAUGGGGAUUUUUGGUAUUUUACCACACUUUCUAAUACCUAGUUUUAUCAGAUGAAGGCUUAUAAGUUCAUUAUCCAUCUACAACAUCAAAUUAGGGUUUUCUCUCAAAGAUAAUCCCCAAGAACAAGAUCCAAAUCCUUCUUCAAGAAACUAAGAGAUUCAAGUUCUUCAAGUCAAAGGACUUCAAGGAACUCACAACCUAGUAUGUCAUGUGUUGAUCCAUGGGUCCCUUUCACCCAUGAAGCUCAAGAAUAUCUUUUCAAAAUCCAAGAUUUGUGUAUGUAUGAAUGUUUAUGAUUUAAAUUGAAUUGAAAUAUAAUGUUCAUGAUGUUGUGGGGUUUUGAUUCAUGUUUGAAAUUACAUAUUCCAAUGAUUGACCCUAGGAUGUCGUGAUUUGCAUAAUAAUCAUGAUAAGACCUUAAAUUUAGAUGUUGAUUGAUGUAUCCAUGAUUAUUAGAUGUGUUGAUGAUUGUAUAACCAAAGCAUGCUCCCAAUGUGUUCAAUUAAAAUCCUAUGUGAAGGAAAAGUGCCAUACUAGUAUGAUAAUAUGAAAUCCCCAUUUAUGUACAAGUUUAUGCAUGUCAAAUGUUUGAUGAAAUGUCUUAGUCAGUGAAUUAAGGAUACAUGUGUAACCCUUGUGGUGAUUUAUAACUUCUACUUCAUGAAAUCUCCAAGUUAUUGUAUUAUGGAUUGUGAUGUUGGUCAUGUAUUCAAGAAAGUCAUGCUUUGUCAGUUUCAUGCUAUCGAGUCCUGGGGGUACUUAUACCCUACAAUUUAGAUGUGUGUCUAGAGCCAGUGUUAUGUUUUCAAGAUACUCUCAGUCGAUCCAUGUUCAUAGAAAUUCAGUCAGUCAUGUGACUCAAGAAAACUCAAUAAUCUCAGUAGUAUUCUGUCAGUUAAUAGAACUCGGUUAAUUCAGUUUAGUCCAGUUUAGUUAAUCAUGUUCAGUGUCUAUUCAGAUGAGAGUAGGAAUUAGUAUCGAGUGAAACCAAGGAUGGGAACACACACUGUCAGAUGAGGGUGUGAUUCUUAAAAGUCAUCCUUACAUUCCAAAACUAUGUAGCCAGCAUAUGUUCAGACAUCAACACUGUCAGAUGAGGGUUGACAGUGUUGAUGAGGUAGAUAAGCACUGUCAGAUGAGGGGCCCACCAUUCUCUUUUAGGGUACUGUUAGAUUAGGGUUACCCAUAGAUUGUCAUUACUAGUGGGGCGGUAUUGACACCCUUUCAAUUAGGGUUACAAAUUAGAUCCCACCUUAGCUAUAUUACUUUAUUUGGGGUAUGUCGAUUAGAUGAAUACUUUCCAUAGUUUUAGUUAUAGAUCAGGACUGUCUGAUACAGUUAUUCAUUCUCAAUAAUAGAACUCAGAUAGUUCUACAGAAUUUAGGACUGUCAGAUACAGUCAAUUCAGAAUAGAACGGAACUCAGCUAGUUCCAUCAGAAACUAGAUUGUCAGAUACAGUCACUCAGUAUUAGUUAUUUAGUUAUACAGUUAUUAGUAUCUCUUGUUAUCAAUACUCAGAUUUAGUAAUCAUGUUAUCAUGAAAUCAGUUAUAGUUGUUAUGUAUUCAUGCAUGCGUUCUCACGUUCAUGUUAUCCAGCCAGUAAGUAUAGUUCAUGCAUGUGAGCCCUUUGCAUUCAGCCUACCUCACAUGCAUACCAGUAUAUUCAAUUGUACUAACACAUUUGUACUAUGGUGUUUUAGACCGUAGGUUCAGAAGCAUGAGCUCCAGAGCAUCAGUAGCAGUCAUAGUUAGUAGUGAGUCUUCAUCCUUCGAGGACAUGAUUAUUAUUUUAUUAUUUCAUUACUUAGUUUAUUUCAGUAGUUGGAGUUGGUUAGGGACAUGUCCCAUCAACUCCUUAUUUAGACAGUUUAGUUAGUUAGAGGCUUUUCAAACUAUAGUAUGUUCAGAUAGUUUAUUUUAGUUGUUUUGGGUAUUUCAUACCCCACCCAGAUGUUAUAUUUUAUUAGAUACUAUGUCUCAGUUUUGAACCUUAUGGCCUUUCAUCCUUUAUUUCCAUAUUUAUAUAGUAUAUUAAGCAGUAUACAGGUACAGAUAUUAGUCAUAGGUUAGCUUAUGGUCCUUUGGGGUCAUUAGCACCGUGUGGCAUUUCGGGUACGAGACUCACAGUGUUACAAUAAGGAAUAGGUUGGAAAAUAUCACUGUAGUCCUCUUCUAUAUAUGAGGAAGGAGCACCUUGUUUACCAACUCAAAAAUAAAUUGGUAUUCCCCUUCCAAAGCCUUCGUGGUCAUAUUUUUAGUAUUCAUAUCAUCUAGCUUUCUGUAGAUUUUUAGAAAAAAAUUUUAACCCUUUUUAUUACUUAGGUACCUGGUACCUUCAGUAGGUAUUCCAAGAAUCUCAAACAAUACUUAUUUAUCAAUUGUAAUGCUCACCUCAUUGAUUUGAGUAUUCAAUUAUAAAUCAUCAGCAGAGAAGGCUAGAUUGUGAUAAACAUUCUAAAAAAAAUUUCAUAUAGGGUAGGAACAGGAAACUCAAAAUGGUGUUCCUAACUUUAAAACUUUACCCAAUCCAACAACACAGUAUUCCUAGCAUAGCAGCACUAUCAGGGUCAAAAACUCAACCCCUUAAGACUUAAUUAGUCUUGAGAAUCUCCUAUCUGGAAUCCCUUGACAAACCCUUCUCUUUUUCUUUAGAAGAAGCUUUUCCAGAGGGACCAGUUCCUUUUGUAGAAACCCCAGGGUCUCUUAAGGUCUUAGAAGAUUUAGAAUUAGGACCUGGUCCUCGGUGCUAGACUUCUCAGUCCUUUUCCUCUGACCAAUGCUCGUGGUUAUAUGUUUAUUGAUCAUUACUCCUUUGGAUUUCUCUUUUUUGGGGAGAAACAAUAGCUUUUCUUUUGUGUUAGCUUUGGUGGUAGCCAUACUCUUUUCAAUAUUAAAAUUGUCAUCAACAUCCUCAUACAUAUCAUAGUUAUCAAACAUACUUCUAAAAAUAUUUUAAAGUCACUAUCAGAACUGUCAUUAAAAUCACUCUAAGUCUCCUUAUCAGAUUUCUCAACUGUCACACCCUUUUCAACUAGAGGUUCAACUACAAUCACUCUCUUCUUUUUCAACAUCCUCCUUUUCUUAGUAUUAUUUUUGUUUUCUUCCAAGGCUUCUUUCAUCAACUUCCAUGAAUUCAACCUAGUCCCUGGAGGUUUAACAGGUUUGGGUGGAGCUUUGGUAAAAGAAAAGGAUCCCUUCUUAGAUAUUUUUCAUGAUAAGGGUUGGUUAUCCUCACUAUUAGUAUCUUCUUUUUCAUUCGUAUCUCCACCAAACAGGUCGAGAACAGGGGAGAACAUUAUAGAAGAAAACACUAAGUUGUUAUCCUCAGCAUUCUCAGGAGGAUCAUUUUGCCUUCUUGUGAACAAUUUUACAGGAGUUGUCUCCCACUUUGGUGAGUCUAGAGUGCUAGGGUAUUUAGGAGGUUCUAUACUAAGGGUAGCGAGAUCUUGAACCCUAAUUUCCUCGCUUAUGGGAAGGAUGCUUAAAAAAGUUCCCUAAGAAGUCGACAAAUCCCCAUCAAACAUAUUUUUGUGAAUAGAGGCACUCCUAAACUUACUAGGUAACUUACCCUUAUCAGGAGAUACGCAUUGGAAGGAGAGUCCAAAACUGACUCAGAGGGAACUAAUUAAUUUGGGAUAGAAGGAAUUUCUUCAGAGACUUUGUCUUUGGAAGAGUUGAUUUUAGGGUCUUCUUAGAGACUUUGUCUUUGGAAGGAUCGAUUUUAGGGUCAGGGAUGGAGGGUGCAUCUUGGUUAGUUUUCCCUGAAAAGAAUGCAUCAGAUCAAUCCUUCUUUUUUUUGCACUAUCUUCUCUGGAAAUUUUAGGAAAGAAAAGGGGAAAGAACUUUGUAAUGGAAAAAGGAUUUUGAGAUUGAAAAUCAAAAGGAGGGGAUGGAGAAUCAACCACUUAUAAAGAAGAGGGCUCUUUUUGAGGAGGAAAUGAUAGUGGUAGAUUCGACAUGAUAGCUUAGAAAGAAUAUUAGGAAGAUUUAAGAUUUGAAAUAAGAUGAAGAAUGGGAAAAAGUUUGAAAACGAAUAGGCUACAAUUGGGAAGAUUUUUUAAAAUGGAUAGAUGAGAGAUUAGGCAUAACUUAAAUGGGAAAGAAGAGAAUGAUUCAAAUUUAGUGAAGGGUUGUGGUUGAUAAGAUGUGUUAGGUCAGAUGAGCGCGCCCUUUAGACUCAAAGUGGGGGUUACAACUUUUAAGAAUGGGAGGGAUAUGAUGUAGCAGACUUGUCACUUAAUUUAAAAAGCUACCGCUUAAGAAUAUGGUUUGAUACCAAAUGAAUGAGGGAUCUGGUCCCUCUAUGAAUUUCUGUGCAUAAUGAGCUUUGAGAUGUCUCAUCCCCCUCCGUUCUUCUCUUUCUUUCCAUGGUAUAUAUCAACAGAAGAUAUGAGACUGAAUUAGACAUAUGUUACAUUAUCAUACAAGGAUACCUUCUUAUCAAUUCAUAGCCACGUUGGGGGAUUAAUAUAAAUAACAUGCAUUUAGCUUGGUCUCAUUAUCCUCAGCUUUGUCUCAUUCUUUUCAAAUUGUUCCCUGCAAAGACCCUUAGUGAAUAUAUAUAUAAUUUGGUCUUAGAUACUUGAAAACCCCAUCUUAAUUAAUCCUUUCUCCAUAUUAUCUCUGGGAAAGUGAUGCCUGAUAUCAAUAUGCUUGGUUCUCUUGUGUUGAACUGGAUUUUUGGACAUGUUUACUGCACUUGUGUUGUCACAGGAUUGGGUAACACAAUCUAAGAUUAUACUUAAAUCUUCAAGUUGCCUCUUGAUCCAAAGUAAUUGAGCACAACAUGAAGUAGCUACAAUAAAUUUAGCUUCAGUAUUUGAAAGAGCCACUAAAUUUUGCUUCUUAGUACCCUAGAAAAUCAAGGAUGAUCUAAGAAAGUGAGACAUACUUGAGGUACUCUUUCUAUCAAUUAGGUACCCAGCAUAGUUAGAAUCUGCAUACCCAACCAAGUCAAAUUUAUCACCAGUAGGAUAGAAGAGGACCAAGUCAGGAGUUCCAUUGAGAAAUUUGAGAAUCCCUUUUAUAACUUUCAAGUGAGGAUGCCUUAGGACUUGCUUGGAACCUAGCACAUAUCCCAAUACUAAAUGUAAUGUUAGUUUUAUUAGUUGUCAAUUGGAGAAAUAAGACAAUGAUUCCUUUGUGCGUAGUUUCAUUAACAGAGGAACCAGGUUCAUCCAAGUCCAGAUUGGAGAAAGUUCUAAUAGGAGUGUCAAUAGGCUUUGCAUCCUCCAUGUGGAACCUUUUGAGCAACUCAUGAAUGUACUUCUGCUAACAUAUUUUAGUCCCAGUUGCACUUCGCAUAAUUUGUAGUCCAAGGAAUAAAUUGAGUUCUCCCAUCAUGCUCAUAUCAAACUAACUACUCAUUAACUUUGCAAACUUAUCACAUAGGGAAUUGAUUGUAGCUCUACUUUACAAACAAUUCUCCUUUGAGCAUCCCAUUCAGAAAAGCACUCUUAACAUCUAUUUUGAUUAAUUUGAAUUCUAUGUGUAAGACCUCGCAAAAUUCUAAGCUUGACUUAGUCCAUUAAAGAUUGAAAAUAGACCCCAGACUUAGAAAUUUUAGCUAAGUGUUUACACUUAGAAUUAUUUUAUCCUUCAUAAGUUGGCAAUCUUAUUUCACGAUCCAUACGACCUUUAAAUGUCAUUUUUUAGGUUGAUCCAUGAUCAGGAAUGUCAGUAGGUGUCCUAGACAAGUUUCAGAAUUUUGGGACCUCGUUUAAAUCAAGUUUGGGAGUCCAAACUAAUGGAUCGAUGUGAUAUCGACGAGACACACCGACUAUCACAGCGAUAAAUAUUUUUUCCAUCCAUAGCAUCGAUCCCAUUGAGUUGGUACAUCAGCCAUAGCAUCGAUCUCAUCGAUGAGGCACAUCGAGUUGCGCAUCACUGGGCACACUUUCUGUCAUUAAAAGGCACAUCCAGAGGGGUAUUUGGGUCAUUUUUCACCCUUAAUCAGCCCAUAAAUACAAAAUUCAGCCCUCAAUAAGCAAAAUACACUCACUUUCUGUCAAAUUCUCUCAAGACACAAACCCUAACCCAACACAGUCAAAAUCAAGAUCCAAGAAAUUCACCAUCAAUCUUCACAAAUUCAAGCAUCAAGGCAUGUUAGGUGUUCAUCCAAGGGUUUUCUUCCAUCCUUGGAGUUCAAGAACCCCUUUUAAAUUUAUAAGUUGAUUUCUUUCAUGAAUUUCAUGGUGAAUUAAUUGUAUUCAUGAUUAUGAUGUUAUUUGGGUUUUUAAUCCAUGAUUUAGUACAAGAUUCAUGUAAAUUUAUUUGACAUGUGUGUGGUAUUAUGUGAAUUUAUGUUUAAGCCAUUGAAAUUGUAAGUUGGGGUUUUGAAAUCAUGAGGCCUACAUGUUAUUUAGUAUCAUGUGUAUAGAUUAUGUUCCCCAAAUAUUUGAUAGAAUGCCCUUGUGAUUAAACGGUGAAAUAAUGACAUUCUAGUAUAUGUACAAGCUUAUGCCCUACAGGUGUUAGAUGAAAUGCUUAUGUGAUUUGACCAGUGAAAUAAUGACAUGUUAUGUGAAUCCUUCCAUUCACAAGUUUGUGUAUGUCAAGUGAUUGACAAAAUGUCUAAAUGAGUGCAUUGUUAGCAAGCAAGUAUUGUUAUGCCUUUAUAAUCAUGCUAUGUUUUACUUUCCAUGCUAUCGAGUCCUGGAGGUAUUUAAUACCCAAUAAUUUAGCAUUGCACCUAGAUCCAGUGUCAGUUAUAGAAUCUCAGUCAUGUCACAAUCAGUAGUACUCUCAAUCAGUUACAGAACUCAAUAGAACUUGAUCAGCUAUAGAAUUUAGGAAAACUCAGUAAUCUCAAGUAUCAGUCCUGUCCUGUUUAGUAUACUCAAUUCAAUGUCUUUUAGUUGGGAGUAGGAUUCAGCAUCGAGUGAUCCUAGGGAUCGGGCCUCACUUGUUAUCUAGGACUAGGUCCCUAGAAGCAAUCCCUAAGUUCCAAAACUACGUAGCCAGUGUAGGUUAUGAGAUGCCACCUGCUAGAUAGGACUGACAAUCUCUGGGAUUACUCGUUAGUUAGGACUGAUCUCAGGAGUCACCCUCUAGAUUAGGACUAACUCCACAGCCAGUGUUAGUACCCGUGGCAUGGUACUAGCACCCUUCCAACUGGGGUCACAGGUUGGAAUCCUAUCAACUUAGAUUUGGGACAUAUCGGUUAGAUGAUUACCUCCCACAGUUUUAGUUUUAGUCUCAGUAUAGAACUCAGUUCAGUUCUACAAAAUCAGGACUAUCAAACACAGUCACCUAGCUUAGUAUAGAACUCAGUUCAGUUCUAUAGAAUCAAGACUGUCAGAAAUAGUCACCCAGCUAUCAGUAACACAGUUAUUAGUAAUUUUAGAUAUCAUUCACUCAGUUAAUAUCAGAACUACAGUAUUAGUAAACUUAAAUAUUAGUUAAUCAGUAACCAGUGUUAACAUGAUCUCAGUUAUAUUUUAUAUAUUCAUCUAUGUACUCUUAUUCAGUUACGUCUAUGUUACUCAACUAGUUGAUAUCCAUGCAUAUAAACCCAUGGAUAUAAGCCCACCUCACUUAGAAUACCAGUACAUUCAAAGUACUGACUCAUAUUUUUCUUUUGUGCUAUGAUGUCUUAUAUCAUAGGUUCAGACGCACGGGCUCUUAACCACUCUUAGCAGCCUGGAUUAUUAGCAGAAAAUUUAGUAGUGAGUCCUCAUCUAUCAAGGGCAUGCUUUUAUUUCAGUUAUUAGUUUAUCAGUAGUUGGAGUUAGUUGGGGGCUUGUCCCAUCUACUCCAUAUUCCGACAGUUCAGUUAGAGGCUUUUCAUACUAGACUUUCAGAUAGUAUUCAAUUGUACAACUUAUUAUUUCAGCUGCUAUUUUGUUUAGUAUUUCAGGUUUUGAACCUUAUGGCAUUUCAUCCUAUUUUUUUGUAUUUAUUUUAAUGAUGUUACUUAUUUCUCAUAGUAGAUAUCAGUCAUGAGUUAGCUUGUGGUCCUUUGGGGUCAUAAGCAUCGUGUAUCAUUCGGGGUACAGACUCGGGGCGUUACACUAUGUAGGAGGCAAAAGCAAUGAGGAUCUAGAUCGCCUCCAUUCUAUCCACUGAAGCAAAUGUUUCAUCAUAGUCUAUUCCUUAUUCCUAGUUAGAACCUUGGACAACCAACCUAGAUUUGUUCCUGAUUGUAUUUCCAUGCUCAUCAGCUUUGUUUCUAUAAAUCCACUUGGUCCCUAUGAUUGAUCUAUCUAGGGGUCGUGGAACUUGGUGCCUCACUUUGCUUCUUUCAAAUUAAUAUAGCUCUUUUUGUAUGGCAUUAAUCCAAUCUGCAUCUUUCAAUGCCUUUUUCACAUUCUUGGGCUCAAUUUGAGAUAAGAAUCCAAAGAAGGCACAUAUAUUUCUUACUUUGUUUCUAUUUUGUAUGAUAAAAGGUAAAAAAAAAUUAUCUAGUGGAUGUGAAGAUUUAUGCUUACAGCUGGAUAUUUGAGGAGUAGGCUUACUAGAACUGGUACCAGUUCCCAAAGAGGUAUUACCCUCAGGAGACUGGUGAUCCACUUAGCUAGAGUGAAGAUCAAUAACUUCGUAGGGGGGUUGAACUGAACCAAAUUUCUGGGGAUCUUUAACCUCAUCAUCAUGGUCAUAAGAUAAACCUAGUCCUUGAGAUUCCUCAUCAUCUUUUACACCUUCUUCUGACUCAUCACCAUCCCGUACUGACUUCUCACCAAUCUUGAUGCAAAUUGAGAUAGCAUUAUUAAUAGCAAACGUGAUGAUGUGAACUAUCUUGAAUAUGAAAGCAUUCAAUCACCCAUAAAUAAUUUUAAGUUCCUUGGAAGGAUCAUCAAAAGAGAUUUUAAAGUCCAUAACAUCUCAAAUGGAUCUAUAAUAAAAGUGGUGACAACCAAGAAGAUCAUUAAGGACUCAAGUGGCUAUUAUUUUAUAAUUUGGUCUUAUUUUUAAUUUCACUAUUUUUGCAUGACUAGUAUAAAUAGUCUUAAGUCUUCCAUAUUGGGUUAGAUAGUUUUUGAAUAUUGUGUGCCUCUUGUGUGAGCUUAGAGCUGAAAUCUCUUAUCUCUUCAUUGAACCCCUCGAUUACUUGAGUAAGUAAUUUGUUGUAUGUUCUCAAUUUCUCUUCUCCCUUGGAUUGAAUCUAAUGAUUAAUGUAUUUUAAUUAUUAGUUUUUCCCUUCUUUUCUUCUAAAUAUCUUCUCUCUUUCUUUCUAGCUCUUAAUUAUAUCCUUGUAUCCUAUCUUAUUGUCUUGUUUGAGUUUUUUUGAAUCUCGUUUUAUAUAAAAUCUUGAGAAAUUCUUCAUGAUUAGUAUCAUUGUUGUCAUUUACUCCACCACCUUCAUCAAACACUAUAUGAACACUUUCCUCCAAACAUUUAGUUCUUUUGUUGAAGAUUCUAUAGGAUUUGUUAUUUGAUGAAUAUCCAACAAAAACAUUAUCAUCACACUUUGGAUCAAAUUUUCCAAGGUUAUUCUAGCCAUUAUUGAUCACAAGACACUUGCACCCAAAUGGCUUGAAGUAACUUAACUUGGGCUUCUUCCUGUUCAGGAGCUCAUAGGAGUGUUAUUAAGAAUUGAUCUGAUAAAGCUCUUAUUUAUUACAUAUCAUUUUAUAUUCAUUGCUUCAGCCCAGAAGUUUUGAGUUAUAUCUUCCUCAAUCAUCAUGGUUCAGGCAAUAUCCACCAAUGUCCUAGUUUCCUCUCCACAACACCAUUUUUGUGGUGUUCUAGGAGCUGAAAAUUCUAAUCGACUCUAAGUCCAAUGCAAAACUAAUUGAACCUUGAAUUUUCAAACUCAGUACCAUGAUCUGGUCUGAUUCCUACUAUCUUCUUAUUAUAAUUCAACAAACCUUCUUUGCAAAGGCUUUAAAUACUGGAAAUGUUUUUUUUUGGAUCUCAAGAAGAAUGUACAAGUAAAUCUUGAAUAUUCAUCAACUAUGACUAAGAUAUACUUCUUUUCUCCUCUGCUUAUAACUUUUAUAGGUCCACAUAGAUCUAUAUGAAGAAGAUGUAGUGGCAUGGAAGUGAUUACUUCUCUUUUUGGCUUGAAGGAGCACCUAGUUUGCUUGCUCUUUACACAUGCAUCACACACCUUAGAGAUGACAAACUUUAAAUAAGGUAGACCUCGAACCAGGUCCCUACUUACCAACUUGUUCAGUAAGGUGCAACUCACAUGACCUAGUCUUUUAUGCCAAUAUAUUAAGUUUUUAGGUUUGCUUGACCCUAGAUAAGAUACAUACAUAUUUUUGUUUCUCAAGACUGUCAGAAUAACCUCACCAUCCUUGAAUCGUGUGACCCCACACUUGUAUAACUUAAACCUCACUUCAUUACCCUUGUCAUAAAUAUGUUCCGCACCCAACAGGAUAAAGUUUAGACCAUCCACAAAAUAAAUAUCAUCAAUGGCUUCACCCAAAUUGUUCCCAACCUCACCAAUGCCUACUAUGUAGCCCUUCUUUCCAUCAUCAAAGGAGACACUGCCUCCUUUAUAGGAGAGCAAGAGGAAGUCUUGAAUUCUACCAAUCAUGUGUUGUGAAGAUCCAUUAUCCAUGUACCAGUGGUGGCUGCUUCCACUUGUUUGCCCUGCAUUGACAAUAGUUGUUAGCUUUGGGAACCCAUUUCAACUUAAGUUUCUAGUAUGAUGACAAAGGAAAAAUUAGGUUCUUCUUAGUCCAUAAAAGUAAACCAUCACUAUUUCUUUUAUAUUUAGUAACCUUUUUUAGACUUCUCAUAGAAGCUAGUCUUGAGGGGCAAGAAUCCCUAGUAUGGCCAUUUUUUCCAUACAAAGUGAACAAGAGAUUGUCCUUAAUAGAGAGAUAUUUACUAAAAGGAUUAUAGCAUCCACUUGAGCUAUGGUAGCCCAAACCUCUAUUUCUAUUUGAUCCUUGACUGGUAAGACUGGUCAGAACUUGAGAGGAGGUGGUCCAUUUAAGAGUUUUCUCAAGCUCAGCGUUGAUUUGAACUAAGUCCUUCUUAAGUUCAAAGUUUUUUUCGAGAGAAAGAGUCAAAUUACCAUUUGCCUUGGCCACCUUUUCCUCUAACUCAAAUUGAAUUUAGCUUCCUUCACUUUUUCUUAUAGAUUAGACUUAGAAAUUUCACUGAUCUUUCUAUUUAAAAGGUCAUUUUCAAGGGAGAGGAAUUGACAAGUUUCUUGCAACUUAGAUAUUUUCUCAACUAAAUCCACUUUUUCAACUUCAAAGUCAUCAAGAUUUUUAUUUAGUGACCCCUUAUUAUUUAUAAGCUCACAAAUAGUAUCUAUCAGAUUAUUAGCAAGAGACUUUAGUUCUUUAGGAAAGUAAUCUUUGAGAUUAUCUUUGAUGUAUAGAACGGUUACCUUUUUAUCUUCAUCAUCAUCUAAUUUUGCCAUCAGGACUGAAAGGGACUCAUAUAUUUGGACAUCCUCCUCCACCACUAUCAUAGAGACAUCACUUGGUUUCUCAGAUUCAUCAGACUCACUAGAGGAUUCUUCCUAAGUAGCAAGGACCUGUUUCACAACUUUGUUAGCAGCAGCUUUCCUACUAUACUUAUCAGGGAAUCGGUCCUUAUUUUUCUCUCUUUCUCCAGCUUGUUUAACAUAAUCUAUGUACUUUAUUUUGUGGAGAGGACAAACUUUGAUGAAGUCACCAUCUUUCCACUCUAGUGACAAGUUUCAUUUGCUUUGCCUUCUCUAUUGUAUCUGCUGGAAUCUCCUCUACUAGGCAGAUGUAACACCCCGCAACCGGGUCUUGGAACGUCACACUUAAGGCUACAGUAUCCCCAAGCUAACCCUUUGAGCCUUCUACUUCGUAUAUUAGCUUACUUAGAGAUAAAAUACAUGAACUUAACACUCUGACAUCAUAAAAUAAGAAAUAUGAAUAAAAUACUUGGUCUGAACAAACUACAACUCAAGGAAAAUCUCAAAGUGCUGACAAUCUGAUGACUAGUCUGACAAACCUCUACUACUCUAAACUAGAGAGCCAUUGGGACAAGUCCCCAACUGACUCAUACUCAACUGACAAGAAUUAAAUAGCUACUAAAUAAAACUGGAAGUAUGAGAAUAACCGGUCCCCGAAACAUGAGGAGUCACCACAACUAAUAUAUAGAUAGGAGUGCUCGAAAGGAUCACUAGUGAGGAUGAGACUGAGCACCUGAACUACAUUACGAGAAUAUAUGGCACACAGUUAAAAUAUGUGGGUCAGUACUUUGGGAAUGUACUGAGCAUAUGGGGGAGUGUGAAAUUAAAAUAAUCAAUAUCAUAAGCUUUUAUAGAAAACCUGCAUGGUGUAAAACAUACUCACAUAGCUUGAAAUAAAUAUAUGCCACAAGACUCAUAAAUCAUCNNNNNNNNNNNNNNNNNNNNNNNNNNNNNNNNNNNNNNNNNNNNNNNNNNNNNNNNNNNNNNNNNNNNACUUAUACUUUCAAAACUUUGUAACUUUAAGACUAAAACUCUUUGAAACUUGGAAGACUUUAGAACUUACAGAACUUUAGGAACUUAAGGAGUUUCUCUUAACCGACAUAAACCAUGUGAGUUACAUGGAGUCCAACAUCUUACCCACAUUGGGGAGAGCUAUUGUAUCCUUGUCAUCGGAUAAAACCUUACCUUUAGUGAUCACUAUCUUAACACACUUAGGGUAUAUCAAGAACCUACGGGGGCAUGUAGUUCUGGGGUAUGAGACCUCAGAAUCAAGACCAACUCGAUGCUAAAUACUACUCCCUUACUUAGCUUAGAACUUUAAAAAACCCACCUUAAAAUAAUUCAACAAUAUAUAUAUAUAUAUAUAUAAUGGGAGCCAAAAUGCAUCCCCUUUACUUCAAACUCAAGAAUGUGGAUUUCUAUCUUAACUUACAAUCAAAACUCAUUUCUUGAUAUUCUUUCAAAAUUACUAACAUCUCAUUCUCAAACUCAUUCUUUAACCAUAAGGUUCAAUUCACAACAAUAGAACUUGAAAUUCUCAAAACGUGGUAUAGACGUGGAAUUAUGCAACUUAAACCAUAAAUUGACAAUUUAAACCAUUAAUAUGUAUAACAAUAUUACAACUCAAAGCUUGGGUAAGACAUAGUUUCAUGAAAAAACUCACAAUAUAAUAACAUGAUAGGAAUUCUCCAUGAAUUUACGAAAUACUUUACGAAAAUAUGUAACUCUUGGGCACAAGAACAAAAGGGUGUUCUUGUUCAAAACCACAUACCUUAAACUUGGAACUUUUGGAUGACUUCAAAAAUUCUGGAAGGUUAUUCAUGAACUAUUGGGUGUCCCUUGUAGCCCUCUUAACAGGGAAUUUAAAUAUGCGAGAAUUUUCGAAUUCUCACGGUUGAAUCUCUAGAUAAUUGGGUUUUUAUGUUGAAAACAUAACCUUGUGGUUGAAGGUGUGCAGAGAAUUUUGAGAUGUUUAACUAAAGAGAAUGGAAUAUAAUGCGCUCUUUGAGGGUUAUAAGUCGUGGGAAGUGAAGGAAAAAGACCAAAAUAACCUUACUAAACCGCUUAUCAGUUGCUGAAAAUCUAAGGCUGACGACAUUUGUGAUAGGCCGUCAGACUUAAGAUAAGUCAUCACAAAUGUCAUCACUGGGGGGAUGGAAUUGAUGGAUUUCUUCCUAAGGCUGACGACAUUCGUGAUAAGUUAUCACACUUGUGAUAACUUAUCAGAAAUGUCGACACUGGGUGUUGGAUUCUGCCUAAGGCUGACGACAUUCGUGAUAAGUCGUCACACUUGUGAUAACUUAUCAAAAAUGUUGUCACUGGGGGCUGUAUUCUGCCUAAGGCUGACGACAUUCGUGAUAAGUCACCACACUUGUGAUAAGUUAUCACAAAUGUCGUCACUCAGUUUUCUAGGCUGACUUGCUUGAGUAAAAUGGGCAUAACUUCUUGCUCCGGUAUCGAAUUUAGGCGAAAUUGGUAUUGUUGGAAAACUAAUUCAAUUAUCUAUCUAUUGGUGGGUCAUGAGCUAAUAAAUUCAUAGUAUAAAGAGAGAUAUGCUCAUUUGAAGUUGACUAUAUCAAUGUCCUUCUCAAGAAUUCAAUCGGCAAGGAAUGUUUAGAUUUGUUUAAUAGAUAGGACACUAUUGGGGCCUUAAUACUCAUCAAACUAGAUCAUGUAACUACCAAAUCACUAAAUUUAUUUCUAAAGAUCUUGAAGCAGCGUUCUACUAUUAUUUGAAAUUCUCAGGGUAUUACAAUAUCUCCCCCUUGGAAACUUUCAUCCUCGAAUGUCACUAGUUAAGCUAGGAAUGCAAAGAAACUGAGGAUGCACAAUUGGAAUAGUUCUAUAAAUUGAAUCUAUGUCAUUCUAAACUGUCAGGUAUUUUUGAGAGUGCACAAAUUUGCAACAAAAUAGCUAUAUAGCUGAAGCUUUGGUUAGAUAGGGGAUGAAUUAAGAAAAAGUAAUACCUUCGGCUUGCUCUGAACUUAUGAAGAAGAGUUGUGGGUACUUGGAUCGCAUAUCUGCUUCAGCUUCCCAAGUAGCACCCUCAACUGAUUGGUUCCGCCAUAAAACUUUGACCAAUGGAACUUCUUUGUUCCUUAGUCUAUGGAAUUGGUAAUCUAGGAUAUCAACUGGAACCUCAUCAAAUGAAAGGUAAUUCUGAACAUCUAAGCUAUCUGAAGAAUCAACAAUGAUAGAAUCACCAAUAUGCUUCUUAAGCAUGGAAAUAUGGAAAAUAGGAUGAACAGCUGAUAACUCUGCAGGAAACUCAACUUUAUAGGCUGCUUUCCCAACACGACUGAGAAUUCUGUAAGGGCCAACGUAAUGGGGACUAAGUUUCUCCUUUUUCCCAAACCUUUUCACCCCUUUCAUGGGCAAAAUUUUCAGAUACACCAAAUCAUUAACUUCGAACUCAAGGUCUUUUCGUCUUACAUCUGCAUAUGACUUUUGACGACUCUGAGCUGUCUUUAACUUUUUUCUAAUCAACUUCACCUUCUCCAUCACCUCAAAUACUGCAUCAGGUCCAACCAAAGUACCUUCACCCACUUUGAACCAACCUAUGGGUGACCUACAUCUCCUACCAUAUAAAGCCUCAAAUGGUGCCAUCUUGAUACUAGCAUGGUAACUAUUGUUGUAAGCAAACUCUAUCAGCGGCAAAUACUCAUCCCAACUACCUUUGAAAUCAAGGGCACACGCUCUCAACAUGUCCUCCAAAGUUUGGAUAGUCCUCUCAGCCUGACAAUCGGUCUGUGGAUGAACAGCAAAACUCAUAUGAACUUAGGUACUAAGACCCUUCUGAAACACUCUCCAGAACUGAGAAGUGAACUCAGUACCCCUAUCCGAAAUGACAGACAAGGGAACUCCAUGCAGCCUGACCAACUCCCGAAUAUACAAUCUAGCAUAGUCCUCAGCUGUAUAAGGUGUGUGCAUAGGCAAGAAAUGCGCUAACUUAGUCAGCCUGUCAACAACAACCCAGAUGGAAUCAUCAUGGCAUUGGGAAAGAGGUAAGCCAGUCAUAAAAUCCAUAUUUAUCUCUUCCCACUUCCAAGUUGGGAUACCAAACUCUUGUAUCACACCACCAGGUCUUUGGUGCUCAACCUUAACCUAUUGACAUAUUGCACACUUUGCCACAAAAUUAUCUAUAUCCCUCUUCAUACCACACCACCAAUAGAUGUCCCACAAGUCACGGUACAUCUUGGUAGUGCCGGGAUGAAUAGAAUACCGUGCACCAUGCGCUUCAUCCAUAAUUCUCUGCCUCAAAUCACCAAUAUUAGGAACACAUAAUCUACCCAGCAACCACAACACACCAUCUCCCCCUUGAGAGAAUACCUCUACCUUUUGUUCCUUAACUGACUCCUUCAGUUUGACCAAGCUAGCAUCUAAGUCUUGCUUCUCCUUCACUUUCGAAACCAAAGAAGAUUCGGAACUACUCUGUACUAACAUAUUUCCCUCAGCGGAAUCAAGCAACAUAACACCCAGUCUAGCCAGUCGAUGCACAUCACGAGCCAAAUCUUUCUUACCUUCCUCCAUAUGUGAAACACUACCCAUAGACAUCAUGCUAAGGGCAUCUUCCACAACAUUGGCCUUGCCCAAAUGAUACAAAACGCUCAUAUCAUAGUCUUUUAAUAAUUCUAACCACCUCCGCUGCCUAAGAUUCAACUCCUUUUGAGUCAACACAUGCUGCAGGCUUUUGUGAUCAGUAAAAAUAUCAACAUGCACAUCGUACAAAUAAUGUCUCCAGAUUUUCAGAGCAAACACUACAGCAGCUAACUCUAAGUAAUGGGUUGGGUAAUUCUUCUCGUGAGGUUUCAACUGUCUAGAAGCGUAGGCUAUAGCUUUACCCCUCUGCAUCAAAACACAAUCCAAACAAAUUCUCAAAGCAUCACAGUAUACCACAAAACCAUUUACACCAUAAGGCAAAGCCAACACAAGGGCGGAAGUGAGUCGAGUCUUCAACUCUUGAAAACUCUUCUCACAGGAAUCCGACCAGAGGAACUUAACUUUCUUUUGGGUCAACCGAGAUAUGGGAGACGCAAUAGAAGAGAACCCUUCAAUGAAACGGCGGUAAUAGCCAGCUAGACCCAAGAAGACAGAGAGAUAGGCCUAGGAUAAUUUCUUAUAGCCUCUAUAUUUUGAGGAUCAACUCUAAUACCUUCGGCUGAAAUAAUAUGACCCAAAAAUGCUACAGACCUUAGCCAAAACUCACACUUACUGAAUUUGGCGAACAACUUAUGUUCUCUAAGAGUUUGCAAGACGAUUAUAAGAUGGUCUGCGUGUUCACCCUCACUUUGGGAAUACAUAAGGAUGUCGUCAAUAAACACAAUGACAAAUAUAUCAAGAUAUGGCUUAAACAGUCGAUUCAUCAGGUCCAUGAAAGCUGCUGGGGUGUUAGUUAGCCCAAAAGAUAUAACAAAAAACUCAAAAUGACCAUAGUGGGUUCGAAAUGCUAUCUUCGGGAUAUCACACUCCCUUACUAUAAGUUGGUGAUAACCUUAUCUAAGGUCUAUCUUAGAGAAAUAACUCGCACUUUACAACUGAUCAAACAAAUCAUCUAUUCUCGGAAGAGGGUACUUAUUCUUGAUUAUGACCUUAUUAAGCUGAAGAUAGUCAAUGCACAUACGAAAAGAACCAUCUUUCUUUCGCACAAAAAGGAUAGGUGCGCCCUAAAGAGAUAUACUGGGCCUUAUAAAACCUUUGUCUAAGAGAUCUUUAAGUUGUUCUUUCAACUCUUUAAGCUCUGCAGGUGCCAUACGGUAGGGAGGAAUGGAAAUAGGCUGAGUGUCGAGAAAAAAAUCGAUCCCAAAUUCUAUCUCUCUAUCGGGUGGUGCCCCUGGGAGAUCUUCCAGAAAGACACCAGGAAACUCAUUGACAAUGUUGAUUGAAUGGAUACUUGGGGUUUCAGAGUUAGUGUCCUUAACUCUAACUAAGUGAUAAAAGUAACCCUUAGAUAUAAGCUUCCUGGCUUUGAGAUAAGAAAUAAAACGACUUUUAGGAGGUACUGAACUCCCUGGCCACUCAAAAACUGGGUCAUUAGGAAACUAAAAUUUGACUACAAGAGUAUGACAAUCUAUAGAUCCAUAGCAGGAGUGAGCUAGUCCAUACCCAGGAUAACAUCAAAAUCAACCAUCUCUAACUUUAUCAAAUCAGCAAGUGUGACUCUAUGAAAGACUAUAACAGGACAAUUCUUGUAUACUUGCUUAGCAAUAACAGACUCCCCUACUGGAGUAGAAACUAGAAUUCGCUCAAAAAUACUUUCAGGACUCUUCUCAAAAUUCACAGCAACCAGUGGGGUAACAUAAGAAAAACGUGACCCGAGGUCCAAUAGCACAUAAACAUCAAAGUGAAAUACACGAAGCAUACCAAUAACAACAUCGGGAUAGUCCUCUUGCUCAUGAUGGAAAGGUAGGGCAUAGAACCUGUUUUGGUGCUAACCGCCAGCAGUACUAGAAAAAGUGCCCUGAGAAGGAGCUAAAUGGGAUACGAAAGCUGGUGCACUAGUGGCUUCGAUUUGGGGUCGGGUAUCUCUGCUUCCCUGCCUGGCAUGUGGGCACUCUCUAAGCCUGUGGCCUAUCUUUCCACACCCGAAACAACCACGCUGUUCAUCCAAACACCCAGAUGGAUCCUACCAUACUUGGCACAAGGAGGAAAGUUGGGCUUGCUGCUCACACUCUGCUAAGGCCUGGACAUAGAAGACUUGUUUCCCUACUCUGGCCUAUCUCUAGGCACUAGGGCACUAGCAGAUGAGGGUGCUAGCAUAAAAGAACAACUCUGGAACUGAGGUCGGUUCCCUCCCUGUGAUCUAGCCUGAUCGUACUUGUAUUGUUCAUACAUGGCUCUCUUAUUACCUCUCACUCUAUCUCUUUCUCAUAUCUUAUUCUCCUUUAUUUGCUACGUAUAGAUCAUGAGCCUAGACAAAUCCAUCUCCUUGUUCAAUAUAGUAGUACAGCAUUCUUUCAGUACUAAGCCUGACACACCUGUCACAAACUUUCUCAUACCAGUUCGGGUGUCAGAGAUCAAGUCAGGCGUAGAUUAAGCAGUACUCCUUAACAGUCAUGGAGCCCUGCCUCAAGUUCAUAAAUUCUUCAAUCUCUGUCUCCUUUAACUCCAAAGGAAAGAACCUAUCCAAGAAUGUAUCUUGGAAUAUCUGCCAGGUAAUGGGAGCAUCGUCCUUCCCUCUACCCUUCCUCCAAAAAACCGCCCAGUCAUACACAAUGUCCUUCAACCUGUAAGAUGCUAACUCCACACACUUUUCUUUAGACACACGCAUUACCUGUGUGAUCUUUCUUAUCUCCUCAAGAUAUAACUAUGGGUCUUCCUCUACCUUUGACCCAUAAAACUCUGGCGGACUCAUCCGUAUAAAGUCACGAAUUCUGGCAGCAGCUAAGUCACGAAUUCUGGCAGCAGCUAAGUCACCUCCCUGCUGCUAAGGAGCUUUGGACUGAUUGUCCUGGAUAGUGACAGCUUGGGCCAGUGCCUGGAAGGCUGCCCUGAAUUCGGCAUGGGACACAUUUUCAUUCAGAGGAUCAGCGGGCUGAGGUUGCUGAUCAUUGUUAUUUCUUCGAGCUUGGCGGGGAGGCUUAUUCUGAUGAUUAUUUUAAUUGGACACUCCCCCAUAUGUUCAGUAAAUUCCUAAAGUACUUACCCAUAUACUUUGUCUGUGUGCCAUAUAUUCUCGUAAUAUGGGUUCAGGUGAUCAGUCUCAUCCUCACUAGUGAUCCUUUUGAGCACUCCUAUCUACAUAUCAGCCGUGGAGAGUCCUCAUAUUUUGGGGACCGGUUAUUCUCAUACUUCUAGUUUUAUUUAGUUACUGUUUAAUUUUUGUCUAUAUGGGUCCAGGAUUAGGAAAUUCCAAGUACCCUUCGCUCUCCAUGAUACAUAAAUACAAGUGUACUUAGGGGAUUCCCAUGUACCCCGUAAGUAUUAUAUAUAGUCGCCAUGACCAAUCCUCACAUCAAACAUAAGUUUCCAGUGUCCGUCCAUUGGACUCAUACCUUCAUGAUUAGCUAUCACACCCACCAUUAUUGCCAAAUUAAAACCAUUACCACUCAACCAAACCACCAAUCAAUUUAUUAUUAACCAAGUCUAUGUAGCCGUUUGGUCAUGAAAACUAAAAUUUUCUGGAGUUGGAGUUGGAGUUGAAGUUGGAGUUGAACUUGGAGUUGAAGUUAUGUUUGGCCAUGUCUUUUUUGAAUUUUUUUUUUUUUACUUUUGAAAAAGCUUUUUUAAAUAUGAUUUUAUGCCCCAACUUUUACAAACUAUCAAAAUCACCCAACUAAAAUUUACCUACUAACGGGAAAAAAUACAAUUAGCCACUUUUAUAAAAAUAAUUACAUAUACAUGGCCAUAUUUAAUGAAUUUCAAUUAUGACAUAUAUAAUAUUUACAGUAAUAGCCGUUUUCUCAUAUUUGAAAAUUUUAAAUAUGGAUGUUACUUUUGAAGGGGAGCCUUGGAGUAACUGGUAAAGUUGUUGCGAUGUGACUAGGAGGUCAUGGGUUCAAGCCUUGGAAAUAGCCUCUAGCAGAAAUGCAAGGUAAGGCUGCGUACGAUACACCCUUGUGGUGGGGUCCUUUUCUGGACACCGCGUAUAGCGGUAGCUUUAGUGCACCGAGCUUCCCUUUUUUUAAUAUUAACAGAUCACUGUUUUCAAUUUUUUAGGUAACAAAUAUUAUCUUUCAAACAAAUUUAUUUUCUAGAAAUUUAUUUAAUUUAUUUCUUUUCUUUUUCUUUCCUAAAAAAUAGGAAAUGAUAAGUUGUUAUUAAAUUUUAGGGUGCCGCUAAUUUCUUUCUUUAAUUUUUUUAUACAUAAAAGAUUUUACUGUGUGUGAAUAAAUUAUUUCUAUGAAAAAAAUACUUUGCAUAUUUAUGGUAUAUUAUAUCAUAUACCAUAAAUAUAUAAAUAUGCUUAGUAUGUUUCUUUAUACUUUGUAUAUUUAUAUAUGUGUGUAUAUGGUAUAUACAUGGUAUAAACAUCAUAUAUAACAUACUUUGUAUAUUUAUGUUAUAAAUAUGCUUAGUAUGUUUCUUAAUCCUUUGUAUAUUUAUACAUGUGUGUCUAUGUUAUAUACAUGGUAUAAACUUUAUAUAUAACAUACUUUGUAUAUUUCUUUUAUAAAUAUAAUACUUUAUAUAUUUAUGGGUAUAAAUAAAAUACUUUGUGUAUAAAGAUACCAAGUAUUAUGGUAUAUAAAGAUAGCAGUUGCAGUUUACAGUAUAAAUUUGUUAAAUUGGACAUAUUUUUUUAUAAAAAAUAUGUAUCACCGAUUUAUAUUUUUAGCAUAUAUAUGGUAUAAACUAUUUAUAUUUGAAUAGUAUAAUAAAGAUGCACACAAUAUAAUAUAUAUAAUCAAAUUAAAAAUGAGAAUAAUUUGUGGCAGUGGUAAAUUAAUUUGCUACAACUUUAUUAAUUCCAUAAAUAUAGAAAAUGAUUAUCCAUUAUUCAUUACACGACUAUAAUUCAUUAAACAUCCGUAUCACAACAGAAAAAAUAUUAUUAUUAUUAUAUUAUAGUAAUUAGGAUCAUUAGUAGUAAAAUAAGGGAGAAAAUUAAAUAAGGGAGAAAAAUAAUGAUGAGAGAGAAAAAGAGAUAUAUAUUAAUUAGGAUAGCACUAAGUUUGAAAUUAUUAUUAUUUUAUUCUUUACAACUGCUAUAUACGUAAUAUUGAAAAAGUAAUGUUAUAAGGAGAGUUUUAUGUAAAAUUUUAAAAGAUUGGGAUUAUAUGUAAUAAUAAUAAAAGUUGAAAUUGGAGUUGGAAAAUUGUGAAAAAACCAAAAACCUAUUUUCCCUUUUUAGAAAAUUUCCAAAAUUAUUUUUCGAAUUUUCAUGGCCAAACACCACAAUUUCCAACUUCGGAAAAAUUUUCCAAAAAAAAAAAGAGAAAAAAAUUCAUGGCCAAACGGACCCUAUAAGUAGUGGUAGCAUCAUACCGACUAUAACUUACAAUCAAUGUCCUUAGCCAACCUUUAAUAGAAUAAGGAAUUCUCAUGUACCCAUAGAUUACAUUAUUAAGUAGACUUGGGGGAAUCCCAUGUACCCCACAAGUGAUCAUUAUUAUGUUUGCUUGGGGGAUUCCCUUAUACCCCACAAGGUUUUCAAUAAAACCAUCCAUAACCACCAAGGCCUUACCAUUUAACCAUUUCAAAUCAUUUAAAUCAUUUAUUCCAUUCCAAAUCAUUUAAAUCAUUUAUACCAUUUAGAGUUCCAUUACCAAGUUAUACCAUUCAAUAGUUCAAUAAAAGUCUAAUAAUUUAAUCGAAAACAUUCUCAUAGGUAUUUUAUCAAAGAUGUUGGGGCAUAGUAUUUCCAAAGCCAAAACCAAUUACCAAUUAAUGAUUCCCAUGCAACCAAAUGUCAAAACCAUCAUUAAAACAUGUAAAUCCAUAAUUAAAACAUGGAAAAACCAUAACGAAGCAUUUAUAACCAAAAACCCCAACAUAUAUUUGAAAACCCAAAACCAUACAACAAUUAUGCCAUGAAAACAAUUCAUAAAUCAUGCCUUUAGUUGGAACUAACAAUGGGGGAGGAGUAACAUGUCUUAUAUUGAGAAGAUAAUGGAGAGAAAUCACCAUUGUAAGUCCAAAUUUGCUCCUAUUGAUGUAAACCCUACCUUCCUUAACCCAAGAGCCUUAGAGAGAAUUUGAGAGAGUCUCUAAGUGUUUAGAUUAGAAUAUUAGGGUAAAUAAUGUCCCAAAAGAGUUAUAAGUCAUGGGGCCUUAAGAGGUUAAGAGGGAAAAUAUCCAGAUUACCCGCAACUUAAACUGCAUAAAAAUCUCGCAGAAGGGUACAACUCCACCAUACCACCUGUACCCUAUCAUACGAGUGGUGGGUACCACUCAUACCCUAGGCAUACCUUGGACCCCCAACAAUGGCCCACAUACAACCACCAAGGCUUAAUCCUACCCAAGUAUACGAUAUGUAACUUUAACUCAUACCUUAGGUAGAAUCAAGAGGGCUUGACACUGUCCAACAUACGAGUUGGACUAUCCCACUCAUACCUCAUCUCACGACUCAUGGUGAGCCAAUUAUACUCAUAUUCAAGUUAAGUUACUAAGUUUCAUACUAAGUAAAGGAAAACCCAACCCUAUGAUCCAUCACCCACUAUACGACUCGUACCUACCCAAGUCGUACCUAUUAUAAAAACUAAACCACCCACACCACCAACACUGGACAACAUACGAUAGGGUCACCUGACCUAUACCAUCACCAUACGACUAGUAUGGUGAGUUGUAUGUUGUACAGAAAUUCCAAAACCCAGGAAAAUUCUACGGACCAAAACCCUGGGUGUUUUAGUCUUUCCUACUCAGAUCAUUCAUCCCCGAAUGAUGGGCAAGGCAUUACAAGCAUAAGAUACACCCCAACAUAACUAUUCCAACCCUUAACUAAGAUAGAAAAUAAAGAUGCAAGGAAAUCAACCUUUUCUUUAAUCAAGUAAGAAAACAAAGAUAUGAUCAAGAACACAUACCUUCCAUACGAAUAUCCGGAGGAAAAAAUAAAUGUGGAUACUUGGACUUCAUAUCCUCUUCUUCUUCCUAAUUAGCUUCUUCCACCCUAUGGUUUUUCCAUAAAACCUUAACCAAAGCUACUUCCUUGGUCCACAACCGAUAAACCUGUCGAUCCAAGAUCUCUUAAUAAGAUAGAGAAUCCGAGAUUCCUAAUCCUUCCAAAGGAGCAACCGGUGAAGGAUCACCUAUACAUUUUCUCAACAUGGAGACAUAGAAUACUGGAUGAAUGGAGCUCAAACUAGAAGGCAACUUCAAUUCAUACGCAACAUUACCAACUCUCCUCAAAACCACAAAGCACCAACAUACCAUGGACUGAGCUUCCCUAUUUUCCUAAACCGCAUUACUCCCUUCAUGGUAAAUACCUUUAGAAAUACCUUAUCCCCAACCUCAAACUCCAAUCCCCUAUGCCUUACAUCCACAUAGGACUUUUGGCGACUUUGGGAAGCCUUAAGACUAUCCCGAAUAACCAUCACCUUCUCCAUAGCCUGAUAAACUAAAUCCAGGCCAAACAUAUUUGCAUCACCAAGCUCGAACCACUUAAUAGGAGAUCUAUACCACCUACCAUACAAUGCUUCAAAAGAGGUCAUCCCAAUGCUAGAAUGAUAGUUAUUAUUGUAAGCAAACUCAAUAAGAGGUAAAUGACCAACCCAAUUACCACUAUAAUCAAGCACACAUGUACAAAGCAUAUCUUAUAAUGUCUAAAUAGUCCUUUAUACUUGCCCAUCCAUCUGUGGGUGAAAAAAAGUACUUAGGCUAACCUUAGUACCUAACCCCUUCGGAAACAAUCAUCAAAAGUGAGAUGAAAACUGCAUACCACGAUUAGAGAUAAUAAAAACUGGUACACCAUACAGCUUUACAAUCUCAUAAAGAUACAACCUCGCAUAAUCCUCAGCCGAAAAAUUAGUCCUCACUGGAAAGAAAUGAUCUGACUUUGUCAUCCUAUCCAUGAUGAUCCAAACAGAAUCAAAUUGGUUCCGAGAUCGAGAAAGACCAUUAAUGAAAUCCAUAUUGAUCACUUACCAUUUUUAUUCAGACAAUUCAAACUCCUGAUACAAGCCUCCAAGCCUCAUGUGCUCAACUUUCACUUAUUGACACACUAAAUACUUGUCCACAAAAUUGGCCACAUCCUUCUUCGUACCAUUACAUCAAUAUAUUUCCCUAAGAUCAUGAUAUAUCUUUGUCGAAUCAGGAUGAACAACAUAGUGUGAUUCAUGUGACUAAGCCAAUACCCUUUCUCACAAACCAUCGACAUCAGUAACACACAAUCUCUCUUGGUACCGCAAGGUACCAUCACCACUGAUCUCAAAUACAAUUGUCUUUUUCCCACCUACAUCACCCUUGAUUUUCACCAAGAUAGGAUCCAGUAUUUUCUUCUUCUUGAUUUCUACACCAAGAGACGACCGAACCACUUCCUGUACCAAUACACCACCAUUCUCGAAAUCAAAAAGGUGAAUUCCAAGAUUAGCCAAGCAGUGAAUAUAUUUCACCAACUCUCGCCUCUUCUUAUCCACAUACGCUAAACUCCUCAUAGACAACCUGUUAAGAGCAUCAGCAACAAUAAUAGCCUUACUUGGAUGGUAGUAAAGACUCAUGUCAUAGUCCUUGAGAAGCUUAAGCCAUCUCCUUUUCCUAAGAUUAAGAUCUUUUUGAGUGAACACAUACUAUAGACUCUUAUGAUCAAAAAAGAUAUCCACGUGCGCUCUAUAUAGUUAGUGCUGCCAGAUUUUCAACACAAACACCAUCGCUAAAAGCUCCAAGUUAUGAUUAGGAUAGUUCUUCUUAUAUACCUUCAACUACCUAGAAGCAUAGGCAAUAACCUUCCUAUGUUGCAUCAAAAAACAAGCAAGUCCCACCUGAGAUGCAUCACGAUAAACUACAAACCCCUCAUUGCCUUCAGGCAAAGUCAAAACCAGAGCCAAAGUUAGCUUAUCCUUCAUCUUCUUGAAACUACCCUCACAAGAAUCAGACCAAGAGAACUUUACCUUCUUUUGAUACAAUUUAGUUAAUGGGGCAUCUAUUAUCGAGAAACUCUCCACAAACCUCCUAUAGUACCCAGCCAAACCCAAGAAGCUCCGAAUGUCAAUUGAAGUCAUGGGUCUAGGCUACUUUUUAACCACCACCACCUUUUGUGCAUCCACUAUGAUCUCCUUACUAAAAAUAAUAUGACCUAAAAAAGUGAUACGUUCAACCAAAAUUCAUAUUUUGAGAAUUUGGCAUACAACUGUUGCUCUUUCAAGGUCUGCAACACACACGAAGGUGAUUAGAAUGAUCCACCUCACUCUUAGGGUACAUCAAAAUAUCAUUGAUGAACACAAUGACAAAUAAAUCCAGAAACUAAUGGAAGACCCUGUUCAUCAAAUCCAUGAAUGCCAUUAGGGCAUUGGUUAAACCAAAUUACAUAACAAAGAACUCAAAGUGCUCAUACCGGGUACGGAAAGUUAUCGUAGAGAUAUCCAACUCCCUAAUCUUAAGCUGAUGAUACCUAGAUAGAAGACCUAUCUUAGAAAAGAAUUUGGCACCUUGCAACUGAUCAAACAAGUUAUCUAUCCUUGGAAGAGGAUACUUUUCUUAACCGUCACCUUAUUCAACUGUCGAUAGUCAAUAAACAUCCAAAGGGAACCAUUUUUUAUGCACGAAUAACAUCGGUGUACCUCAUGGGAUACACUAGGAUGGAUGAAACCCUUAUCCAAAAGAUCCUUAAGUUCCCUCAACUCAAUCAAAUCAUCCUAUAAGGAGGAAUAGAUAUUGGACGAGUGUCCAAAACCAAAUCAAUCCCAAACAUAAUUUCCCUAUCUAGAGAAAUACCAGGAAGCUCGUCAGGAAACUUAUUUACCAUCAGAACAGAAUGCAAAAAUAGACCUUUGAGAUAGAGUCUUUAAACCAGACCAAAUGAUAGAGACACCCUUUGGAUAUUAACCUCUAAACUCUAAGAUACGAUAUAAGCUUCCUUUUAGGAGCUAGGGAACCAUACCCCUUCCCUUAUAAUCGGCUCAUCGAGAAACCUAAAGACAGCCUUAUGAGUUCAAUAAUCUAGGGACAUGUAGCACAAGUGUAACCAAUCCAUCCCCAGAAUAACCUCAAAAUCCAUCAUAUCUAAUUCAUAUAAAUCCACCAAGGUCUCCUUACUGCCAACAGAUACCACACACACCUUAUAGACUAUUUAGCAACCACAUAGUCACCUAUCAGCUAGAAAUAGGAAAAGGAUCCAAAAUAAUCUCAAGAUCAAAACCAAAAUACACAGCCAUAAAUAAGGUCACAUAAGAGAGUGUGGACCCCCGAAUCAAGUAAAUAAUACAGGUCACAAGAAAAAUGUUAUAACAUACCAGUCAUGACAUCAGGUGAUGCCUCAGACUCCUAUUGGGACCCAAGUGUAUAUAACCUAUUUUGGUAUAUGUCGGUAUCAGAAAAAGAAAUAAAUAAAGAAGCAGCACUCAUGGGUGCAGGAGCAAAUAAAGAGGCAACCGGAACCUUGUUCGUUCCUGAAGUAAACUUCCCAAUCAGAUAGUUUUAAGGCAUAUAUCCUGGCUAAGAAUAGUUAAAAUACCUAUCCCUCCUCUCAUCACAGAAGCCUUGAUGUAAUCGAUCACAGGACCUAUAAGAAGGAUAUGAUGAGGCUGACUGAGCCCCACUAGCCUGAGAUUGGGAAUUUUGUGCUCUAAAUUUAUCGCCACCUUAAACGCCCAUCACCCAACUGCUAUGGGUAAGGAGCACUAGCUGUGGACAAAGAACCAAAACUACCCACCCCACUUCUUCUUUUUCCACUUACCACCAUCCCGACCACGUUGUUAUUGACAACCCUGCUUAAAGAACCUAAACUUCUUAUCCUACCUUUCACCUACUUCAGCUUGCUUUCUCUUUUUCUCUUCCUCGUGUUGUAUAUGAAUAACCAACCAAAAUAUCCAUGUCCUUAAUCAGCAAUGCAGUCUAGCUUUCAAGGAUCAACUCAUGAGACAGUCCUGAAGAGAACUUUCUCAUCUUAUCCCUCUUAUCAAACACCAAUUUCGAAGCAUACCUAAAAAACUAGUGAAAUUUCAAGGCAUAUUCCUUGACUUACAUCUUUCCCUAUUUUAGAUAACAAAUUUUUUCCCCUUUGCUUCUCUCAACUUCUGAGGAAAGAAGUGUUCCAGAAAAGCAUUAUAUAAAGACUCACACAGAGAACACUCAUCAACCUCACCCUUUGCCUGCUCCCAUUCCUCGUACCAUUAGUAUGCCACAUUCUUUAGCUGAUAGACAGCAAAAUUUACCCCUUCCACAUUCAUGGCCUGUAUCACCAUGAUGAUCUUUUCCAUUUCAUCCAGAAAACCUUAUGAAUCUUCCUCUAUCUUAACACUAGUAAAAGUAGGAGGAUUCAACUUCAGAUAUUGGCUAACCCUUGUGUCCUCAGAAGAUACGAUACCAUAUGCACUAUGCUCAGUUUGAGAAACUAGAAAUUAAGCUAUCACAUGAAUCAACUGACAAAACUCUGUAUUUAUCACAUCUGCCUGAAGAGCCUGAGGAGGACUAGAAGGAACCCGUGGAACUCUAGAAAUAUUAGUAACUGGACCCCUAGAUAGAUUAGGGAUCCCCUAAGUAGUGUGUGUCCCAUCAACAUUGUCCCCGAUUGAGAUAGGGGAGUUUUUAUGAACUUCAAAUCAUCGAGGCAUAAACUAAAAUAUUAACAAAUAAAAUCAGAAGAGAUUUCAAGACAUAGAAUCCAAUCUUGAAAAUAGAACACAGAGAAGAGAAACAUUUCCUAAAUUUCUUGUAGUCUCUCUCUUGUGAGUUAGCAUUCUAUAGACCCUUAAAAGAGACUCUACUCAACACGACUUUGUGGACUAUCAAUUGACCACGAACCUAGAGCUUAGAUACCAACUUUACAUAACCCAAACUAUGGUCUUAUCAUAAUAGCCAUCCAAAGUCUAACCAAGAUCGAAGACCACCCCUGUUUCCCAACCCAACCUCUAAAUAUACAUACCCUUAUUACAAGAUAACAUUUAUUACAAUUCUCGUCUCUGGGAUAGGUCCAUGACCGUGACCAACCCGAAUGAGUCCAACCAUCCAUUAUCCAACUAAUAACCAAAACCAAAACAAAAUCAUAAAGCAAUCCAUACAUCCCAUACCAAAUGAGUUCCGUUAUAUAUAUAUAUGUAAUCCCAACACAUAAAUGGAUGGAACAAUCAUAAAUAUAGUCAAACAGUAUCAGCCCCAAUACCAAUGCCAAUUCUAAGGCUGACACCGCUACCGACACCGCCCAUACACACCCAUAGUAGUUCUACAAAGCCUCUAACCGAAAGUAAAAUAAUAUUCGGUUGGGACAUGCCCCUAACCAUAGCCAAAACUAAUGUCAAUAAAAUGACAAAAGUAUGUAAAGACAUCCAGGACAUAAAAUGGAGCCUUUCAGAAUAUGGAAGCUCACCAAUUCAAUCCAGCCGUGCUGAUCCUAAAUCUGAUUACUAAGUAGGAGGAGUAGAAUGGUUUGUUCCUACAUCAUGUAGGGAUACAGCCGCUCGAGGAUGGAUUAGCAGGUGAACUCUAGCAUGCACUCAGGUUAAGGACAAAAUAAUGCCAACCUUUAAAACCAAGUAAACCAACCAUAUAAAUUCAUAACCAUACAUAUAUAUAUAACCAUGCUAGGAGAGGGAACUGGGUUUAGCAUAAAUUUAAAACCAUUAACCUAGGUAUGUGUAGCUUAAACAUCCUAGAACCAUCCACGGGCUAUAUAGGUCUAGUGUAACCCCUUGAACGGGCCCUCAUACAUGUAACCUCAUGAACUAAAGAUACCAUAGGAGUAGAAGAUUCCCAAGUACCCUUUGCUCUCUAUGGCACUUAUGUACAAAUGUACUUAAGGGAUUCUCAUGUACCAUGUAGGUAUCAUAUAUAGUCUCCAUGAACAAUCCUCAUGUCGAAAACAUAAGUUUCCAUUGUCCAUCCAUUAGACUCACACCUUCACGGUUAGCUAUCACAUCCAGCCAUUAUUAACCAAUUAAAACCAUUACCAUACAACCAAACCACCAUUCUAUUUAUUAUUAACCAAGGUUAUAAGUAGUGGUAGUGUCAUACCAACUAUAACUUACAAGCAAUGUCCUUAGCCAACCUUUUAUAGAAGAAGGGAUUCCCAUGUACCCAUAGAUUACAUUAUUAAGUUGACUUGGGGGAAUCCCAUGUACCCCACAAGUGAUCAUUUUAUGUUUGGUUGGGGGAUUCCCUUAUAUCUGACAAGAAUUUUAAUUAGACCAAACAUAACCACCAAGACCUUACCAUUUAACCAUUCCAAACCAUUUAGACCAUUUAGGGUUUCAUUACCAAGUUAUACCAUGCAAUAGUUCAAUAAAUUUCCAACAAUUUAAACAAAAACAUUCUCAUAGAUAUUUUAUUAAACAUCUUGGAGGCAUAGUAUUUCCAAAGCCAAAACCAAUUACCAAUGAACCAUUCCCAUACAACCAAAUGUCCAAACCACCAUUAAAACAUAUAAAUCUAUACAUAAAACAUGGGAAAACCAUAACCAAACAUUUAUAACAAAAUCCCCAACAUAUAUUUGAAAACUCAAAUCUAUACAAUAAUUAUGCCAUGAAAACAAUUCAUAAAACAUUUCUUUAGUUAGAACUAACAAUGAGGGAGGAGUAACAUGCCUUAGAUUAAGAAGAUGAUGGAGAAAUCACCCUUGCAAGUCUGAAUUUGCUCCUAUUGAUGAAACCCUAGCCUUCCUUAAUUGAAGAUACUUAGAGAGAAUUUGAGAGAGUUUCUAAGUGUUUAAGAUUAGAAUAUUGGGGUAAAUAUUGUCCCAAAGAGUUAUAAGUUAUCGGAUCUUAAGAAGUUAAGAGAUAAAAUGUCCAGAUUACCCAACUUAAACUGCAUAAAAAACCCGCAGGAGGGUAUGACUCCACCAUACCACUCGUACCCUAUCAUAUGAGUGGUACCCACUACUCGCAUCCUAGGUAUCCCUUGGACCCCCAACACUGGACCACAUACAACCACCAAGCCCCAAUCGUAUCCAAGCAUACAAUACGUACCUUUAAGUCAUACCUUAGGCCAAAUCAAGAGGGGUUGAUGUUGUCCAACUUAUGAGUUGGACUAUACCACUCGUACCCCAUCUAUGACUCAUGGUGAGCCACUCGUACUCAGAUCUAAGUUAAGUUACUAAGUUUUAGACUGGGUGAAGGAAAAACCCAGUUGUACGACCCAUAACCCACCAUACAACUCGUACUAACCCAAGUCAUACCCAUUUUAGAAACUCAACCACCCAACACCACCAACACUAGACAACAUAUGACUACGUCACCUGACCUAUACCCUCACUAUACGACUAGUAUGGUGAGUUAUGUGAUGUUUAAAAAUUCUAAAACCCAAGAAAUUUCUAAGGACCAAAACCCAUGAUUUUUUAACUUCAGUUGUUCUUCAAAAUCUUCACCAAUCUGGUAGCCCAUCCACCACUCUAAAUUGUUAUCUGAAAUUAUGUAGUAUCGCUGGAUUCCUGAAUCUCCUCAAUAUUGAUUUACAAGAAGUAAUAUUAUUAUCAUAAAAGGGAAUGGGUUAGUGAAGAAAAUUGAUAGAUUCUAUUAAAUUUGUCCCAAUUUCAAAGGGAUAAAGGUUAUGAAUUUGUGCCAUGUUUAGACCCUCGUAGAUGGCUUCUAUCUCUACCAUAACAUGAUGGUGUGCAUUGCUUAUAUUAUAUAAUCCAAUAAUCCAAUGGCCUUGAUCGUUAUGAAUUAUGCCACUGAUGCCUUUUUAGCUGGGAGUAUUUAAAAAUGAGCCAUCGACAUUGUAUUUGAAAAUGACCCAUCGACAUUAAGUUUAAAGAAACUAGAUUUAGGAGGGAACCGUUUGGCGUUAAUGUAAAUACUAUUAAUUUGAUUACUAGGAAUACAGGCAUGAUUUAUGUACUCCUUGGUGUUCCUAUAAAUUAAAGAGGUACUAGGGAAGUUGUUUUUUUUAUCAAAAAUAUUUUGAUUUUGAUUAAUCCAGAUGUUUUAAAUCACAAAAGGAAAAAGGUCGAGCCACGUUGGGGAAUCCAUAUGAAAGGGAUAUUUAGAUUCUUAAGAACCUAAAGCUAGUGAUGGUUGGUCACAUCUAAGUAGGAGAUAUGAUAUCCAUGUCUAACUAAAAUUUUUUAGCUUUAUAGCAGUGAAUAAACACAUGAGAAACAAUUUUAGGUUCAACAUUGCAUAUAGGGCAGUUAGGAUUUGAACUUAAAUUAAUUAAUAGAGAUAGGCAGUCAUAGGGAUUCUCUCAUAAGAGUAAAGCCAAAGGAAGAGUUUGAUCUUCUUCAAUGUUCAUAGCUUCCAUAUCUAAGAAAAUUCAUACGUACAGGUAUUUUGAUUAGAAAGAGAACUAUAGACAUACAUACAGAUUUAAGAUUUAUCCCAUGUACCAAUGGAGUUAUUAGAACAAAUAGUGGUGGCUCAAAGGACAAUGUCAUUAGGAAUUUCAAAUAAGAUUUUCUCCAAUCCCAACCAGUUUUGUUCCAAAUAUCUGAGAAGCACAUGGCCUCUUCCUUUUGGUUAAGGGGGAUAUAUAGGAUGUAUCUUAAGGGAGGGGUCUCAGGAAUUCAAUGAUAAGUCCAAAGAUUAAUAAUUUUUCCCAUAGCUAGAUCCCAAGUAGUGGUUUUAUUACAUAUUGCUCUACACAAAAGGAUAUUUUUUUCAAGUAAAGAAAUGAGAGGAGGUGUUGUGAUGACCAAUAUAUUUAGAAGUAAGAGUAAGAUCCUAGAGAGAGGAGCCAUUGGUAAACAACCUCCAAAAGAGGCCUGUAAGGAGCUUUAUUUUUUUUCCCCAACUUUGGAGGCCAGGCCCUCAUUCACCCUAGGUGCGGUAAUAUUUUCCCACACAACAUAGUGAAUUUUUAUUUUAUGAGUAGUAGAACUCCAAAUAAAGUCCCUUUGUAUCUGAUCGAUGUAAUUGCAAAUUCUUGUGGGAAGUUUAAAAUAUUGUUAGUCUAUGUUGGGAUGACAUUACGGGUAGAUUUUGUGAGAACUACUCUACCUGCUUAAGAGAGAAAAUGGGUUUUCCAAGAGGAAAGCUUUUCCCUUACAUUAUCUAAAAUGAAUUGGAAGUCCUUACAUUUAGAUUUAUGGUUAAGGAUUGGGAACCCCAAGUAAUUUCUAAAAUGAUCAAAAGGAGAGAUAUUGAAAAGGUUUUUGAAAAGAGUAUGAUUAGAAGUAGGACAUGACAUAGAGAAGAUGGCCUUAGACUUGAUUUCAUUAAUAUUUAUUCCCGAAAAAGUGCAAGUGUCCCAUGCAGUUAAAAAUUGAAUAAUAGAUUUAUGGCUAGCUCUGGUGAUGUGGGUAAGAUUGUCUGCAAAAAAAAAGAUGUGAUAAGGGGGGCCAUUGGUAUUAUAAGUGGCAGAAUUCCAACAAAGAAUAUCUACUUGGUGAUUUAUGUAUAUGGAUAAAAGUUUUAUACAUAGGGAUAUCCCCUGUCUAAUACCUCUGGAUAGUGAAAAAAGUGUGUCGGAGUUCCAUUGACAAAGACGGCUAUAUUGCUAGUGGAGAUACAAUUAAUUAUUAAAGUGUGUAUUUUGGGUGAAAACUUAAAUUACAAAAGGGUACAAUAAACAAAAGAUCAUUCAAGAUGAUCAAAGGCCUACUAGGCCCAACUUAAGCAUAAGAGAGUCAGUCCUACUUUUAGUCUUGUUAAGGUAGUAUUUCUUGGACAAGAAUCAUAUUAUCAUAGGUUGUACAGCCUUUUAGGAACCUGGUAUGGUAGGUACCAAUAAGAUUAAUUAAAAGCAUCUUUAGUCGAUUGAAAAUAAUUUUAGUAAUAAUCUUACAAAUAGUAUUUCAUAAGCUAAUUGGACAAAAAUUCUUAAGAUGGUUUGCUCUGGGGAAUUUUGGAAUAAAGCAUAAAUAAGUGUCAUCAAUAGAUUCAGGGAGCCUUUGACUGUCAAACACUUGGUGGCAUAAAUCCCUAAUAGAAUUACCUAUUAUAUCACAUUGAGAAUAGAAGAAAUGAUGGUGAAGUCCAUUCGGUCUCGAAGCUUUGACAGGUUUGAAGAAAAAAAUGGCUUGAAUAAUUUCAAUAUCGCUAAGCGGAUUAUCAAGAGAGGUCAGAUCAUAAUUAUGAAAACUAGUGGAAGGAUAUUUUUAUAUGAUUCCAAUUAGAAGUAGAGUGACUAGUCGUUUAGCAGUCAACAAAGUAAUUUAAGGUAUGGUUAGCAAUUCUAAUAGGGUCAAUUAUCCAAUUAUCUUGAGAAUCCUUGAAGUAAGAAAUUUUAUUCCGUCUUCUUCUAUUAAUAACCAAAAUAUGAAAAAAAAAAUUGAAUUAGAAUCCCCAUAGAUAAGCCACUUAAUACAAGAUCUCAUACGCCAAUGAUCCUCCUCUAUUUUAAGAAUUUAUUAUAUUUAGACUGGAGGUUUUUCUCAAGAGUUUGGAGGAAUGUACUAGCAGGGGAUUUUUAAAUACCCCCAAAUCUAUUCAGGAAAUAAUUACAUAAAGCAACAACUUAACUAUCACUUAUUACAAAAAAUCUCAACUCUUAAAACUUAUUACAAAAAUCUUACUUUUUAAAUUUUUCUCUCUAAAAGUUCAUAUACAUAACUUUACCAAAAUAUUUGUACGGUUUAUUAUCCUUGGAAGAAGCCUACAAUCAAGGAGACAUUAUGUAGAGGUUAUCACUUUUUAAUUCUCAACCGUGUUUGAGUCCAACUCUUACUCAGUGGCAUUCAAUUUUAUCAAAAACUCCAUUUACAAUAUUUUGAAAUUUUAAAAUCUGAGGUUAGCAAUUUUAUUUUAUUUUGAAUUUACCAAAAAUACGAGAUUUCAAGUGAAAAGUUCUUGUAUGUGGUUCGUUCAAUAAUUCUUUCUUAGUAUUGGGGUAAUAUUUUGAUUUUCUACUUUAUCAAAAUUUAGAAUCAUUCGAAUAAGUUCUUGCAUGUACUCCAUUCACUAAUUAGUACUUAGUAAAUGGAUGAUUCUCCGUCUUUUACUUUAGAAUUAACCCAAUUAGAUCAUAGUGACCAACAAAUCGGGUUAUUGGGUUAGUUCUCAAAGAAUUUAUUUACGAGAAUCCUAAUUUUAUUAAAAACAAAUCAAAAUAUUGUAACGAUCCCAUUAAGAUGAAAAAUCUUAGGAAAGUUAUUGAUCGAAGUUAAAAAAAUCAAAUCAAAAAAUCAUCAAGAAAGUCAUAAACGAUGAUAGCGUGCGGCCACGUCUAUCAAAGGUUAUUUUAAUUUUUCGUUUUUGAAUAUGAUUGUUAAUUGUACUAGGAUAUAGUGUAUUUUCAGUAGUGUGAAGUGUUUUGAUUUUUUAUUUUUGAUUAUGGUUGUUAGUGUUGCAGCAUUAUGUAGAUUUGUUCACGAAUAUGAGGGUGCAUUAGUAGUUGUCAGUGUAUAUACAUAGCAUUACUUAUGUAUAUGAUAGAAAUAUAAAUAAGCAAUGUUAUGUAUAUGAACUACAAUGUUAUUUAUAGGUUAUAUACAUCACAGAUGAGUUUAUGGUAUUUUGUAGUUUUAGGUAGGAAUUGAGUGGCUUAGUUAAAGCAAUAUACAUAUCAGGUUGUUAUGUAUAUUUGUCACUGUUAUGUAUAAUGCAUAUACAUCACAAAAAGGUCUAUGGUAUUAAGUUGUUUGGAGUAUGCUUUGAGUGAUUUUUUUUAGGUAAUAUAUAUAUCAGUAUUUUUUUAGUAAUGUGAGAUUUUAUGAUCUUUUAUUUGUGAAUAUGAUUCUUAGUUGUGCAGCUUUAAGUGAGUUUUUUCAUUAAUGUGAGGAUGCCUUAGUAGUUUUCAUUCUAUAUACAUAACAAUACUUAUGUAUAUGAUAAUUAUAUACAUAAGUAAUGUUAUGUUUAUGAAUUACAUUGAUAUGUAUAGUCUAUAUAUAUUAUAGACUGGUCCAUAUACACUGAUUGUUUAUGAUGUAUUUUUUAUGUUUUUAUAGGGUUUGAAAUACAGA
rnacentral:lncRNA from 1 species